UACACACCGCCCGUCACACCAGUGGGAGGUUGGGUUUCACCAAGAACGGUAGGUAGUUACCUAACCGACGAAGGAGGACGCUUACCACGGUGAGAUUCAUGACUGGGGUG
rnacentral:rRNA from 1 species